ACACAGCACAGCAGAAGCAAAAGCAAAAGCAAGGCAGCAACGGCGACGAACGACGAACAGCGAGACCAUCAAAUAGCACGGAGUACGUACGUACAGGCAGGCCAAAGCAAAAGUAUCUGUAUCUGAGAGGCGAGCAACCCGGCCAGCCAACCAACAAGCACGGCACAUCGGGGGUAGGCGACUGUAUGCUCACAGUGGCGUACCUUCGGGUGUGUACGGCUCACGCGAGGCGACUCAUUUGCGUGGUCUCACACUGGUGGGCCUCCUCAAUUAGAGGAACAGCGCAUGCACAGUACAGGCACAGAAUAUUGAAACUGCAUGUUUUGGGUUAUACAAAUAAAUUGAGAUAUCUUUUUGGGCCCUAUAAAACUACCUUUUAAAGCUGUCACAGAAGAAAUAUAUAUAUUUUUUUUUUUUUUUAAAUUGAAAAUUUAAUUUCAUUUGAAAACGACCUCGGUACAAAACCUACCAAUGUUUAUCGCAAAGCAAGCACCCUAAAAUUUAAUGAGACGCGCAUGUUCCGACUAUUUUUGCCGCGACUGUACCCUGUUUGUUCAUAUAAAAAGCAUGGAGCUGUGAGAACGAAUUGCCAGUAGUAUUUGGCGGCGCCGCUUUCCCCUCUCCUCACACACCACCCUCUCCCCCCCUCCCCUGGCCCACUUCCCCUAUCCGUCCCAUUUAAUACCCCAGAGCUCGUCCAAAACGUCGUCACUGCCACCCACCUGUACCGCCCACCUCGUCCCGCAAAAAUUAAAAAAUAAAGCACUCCUAUUUCAGCACUUCCAAUUACACAUUGCCAUCACCGUCGCCAUCGCCCUUUGGCCAUCAUUCAGUUUGUUAAAAAAUUCCUUGACAAACUAAAGAUAAGUUGGCCAUUCCAGAAAAUAUUUAACCUACAAUAUUGAUUUGACAUUUACAUUUAAAUCGAUUGAGUAAUCAGCUAAGCCAAUCAGCUCGCCCAACAGACGCGUCGUCUGCAUUUCAAAAAAUAACCGUCAAUAUUUCGCGCGCGCCCUCCAUUCAAAAUUUCAAUUCCAAUACGAGCACGAUGUGGACGAAAGCUAAAGCCACCUAACCAAAAGGCGAAAGCAAUGCGGCUCUAUGUGGGCCCCCAAGUAUAAGUAAACAGAUUGGACACGGCCUCAAAGUUACAACAAUAAUACAUCGGCGUAAUGAUAUCAGAGCGCUGUUCCAAAUGGCCUUAUCUAAUCGAGGAAAGUGACAGCCGAAAUUCCGGCGAUGAAAAAGCGCACUCAUCGAGUCGACCAGUCCCGAGUGUUUUUCGUUCACCAGUAUCUCGCUCUAUAGACCGCAGUACAGCACGGCUGUAGCUACAGCUAAAUACGAAAAUACGAACCGAACGAGUCUCUGAAGGGAAGUCGGUGCGAGCGAGAUGGGGCUGAGGGUGCGAGGGAGCGAGGGAGACGGCGAGGAAGAGGGACUGAGGCGGUCGUUCCACAUACGCGACUGUGUGUGCGACUGUAUCUGAAUCGGUCGGAAUCUGAAUCUGAAUCUGUAUCUGCCCGAGUCCGAAGCAAAGGCAAACAACACACGCAACCGAAGAACCCGAUUCGUUUGGGCGUAGGGUAUGCGAAAAUGCAGUGGGACAAUCUGAGUGCGUCUAAUGAUGAAUCGCUCAACGGAUUAACCAGAUUUCGGAUUUGUGAUUCCGUGGUGCAACUGCCACUGAUAAGUUCGCAUUGGUAAAAUAUGAAUAUGGUCAUGUUGAAGUGACAUUUAUUUUAAUAUCUUUAAGAUACGAAAUGUGGUACGCAUCAGAUACAAAGUAGCAAGUUUGUUCAUAAAGUUAGGUAGUUCAGUGGAA